ensembl:lncRNA
AUUGUAUGAACUGAAGGGAUACAAUUGCCCUCACAUCUUGCUCUUUCCUUGUUAGAGAGGACAGUCUUCCAAUUCAAGCUAGGUCUACCCUUAUUCCAAACAAGAGCGCUGUGCCCUUGUACCCUCUGCACUUGCAAGUGAGGAUUCAAAUUCUGAAGCAGUGUUGGCAGCCCAGUCACCAGGCAUCACCCCACUGGCCCAGUGGAUCAGUAUUCCCAGGUGAGUUAAAUGAUCACGAUUAAUGGAUUGAACUUCCUAUAAGAUAUUCCUCAGUAUUUUGACCAAUAAUUUCAGCCCAUCAAAGGUUUCUUAAUUAAAAAUAAUGCAAUCCCAGUCAGAAAUGAAUUUCACUUCUCAGUAUGUUUUGUCCCUUGGAACUGCAC